rnacentral:rRNA from 1 species
GACGAACGCUGGCGGCGUGCUUAACACAUGCAAGUGGAGCGACGAAGCGGGCUUCGGCCCGUGGCAGAGCCGCGAACGGGUGAGUAACACGUGGGUAGCCUACCUCGAUGACCGGGACAACCCGAGGAAACUCGGGCUAAUACCGGAUGUUCUGAACUCUUGUAAGGGGGUUCAGUAAAGAUAGCUUUGGCCUUCGCAUCGAGACGGGCCCGCGGCCCAUUAGCUUGUUGGUGAGGUAACGGCUUACCAAGGCGACGAUGGGUAGCUGGUCUGAGAGGACGAUCAGCCACACUGGGACUGAGACACGGCCCAGACUCCUACGGGAGGCAGCAGUGGGGAAUCUUGCGCAAUGGGCGAAAGCCUGACGCAGCAACGCCGCGUGGGGGAAGAAGGCCUUCGGGUUGUAAACCCCUUUCAGUUGGGACGAAGCUUCCAGCGUUAAUAGCGUUGUGGAGUGACGGUACCUUCAGAAGAAGCCCCGGCUAACUACGUGCCAGCCGCCGCGGUAAUAC